CCGAGUGUAAUGGGUUAGCUGCGCACUGUGAUUGGCUCAUCGCAUUUGAGGGUGUGGCUUAGCCAUAAGUCAAUUCAGCUAUUCAGCUUGAGUCAGUUCAAUGUCCCCAACUAAGCAAGCCAAACACGACAGUGUCAAGGAACCCAAACUGUAUCAGGUGACAGAAAUGGGGGGAAAAAUCAUGGAAGAAACCAGGCUCAGUCGAGGGGCCGCUCUCCUCUGGUCAUAUGAGCAAACAUGGUGUGCUUUAUGAUUCUAGACUGCAUCCACCUCAGAGACUGGAAUUUCAUUUCAACCCUAGACUAGUGAGUGAGACUAGUGUGAUUGAAUUUGGACCCUGUCUGCAACAUCAAUAGAGUACAAGUUGUAAUGAAUCUGGAACAUAACUUGAAUUUUCCUAAGGGCGAUCUUGCGUAUAAUACUGAAAUGUAAAUACGUGUAGUAAACCUUUAAUUCAAUCUGUUAUUUGUGUUUGAUGUAGGCAAUGCAUCUGGAAUAUCUCAGCCGCAUUAUCUCGUGUUUGUUGAGCUAAAGGGUGUGAGGAACCUCUCAGAGGAACAAAGAUACAAGUUAGACCACUGCCUACAAGAGGACUCUGACAUCUACAGAUCCUUCAGGAUGAAGGGCAGCAUCGGACCAAUGAGAGUUCAGCUCGUUCGCGAUGGAACUUUCCAAGAACUGAAAGAUCGCAUGAUGGCCUUCUCUGGUGUUUCGUCCAACACCUUCAAAAUGCAGCGUGUGAUACGUAGGAAAGAGUUUGCAGACUUUCUACUGCAGAGGGCUUUCUCAUGAGCAUUUCAAUUAAAGAUGGAGGCUCUGAUACAAAGCUGAGGAGUCAUUUUUGGCUGUUAAAAUAGUUUCUCCUAUCCUAGUUGUAUAGGCAGAGACAACUGUAAAUAAUCCACUGGUUUGGCGAUUCCCUGAAAAUUGCAUUUUCAAAGCAGACCUCUGGAACAGGCUCAACCAGGGGCAUGAGUUGUCCAUCCGAUGGAGGUGUAGGAUUUCAAAUUUAAGAUCUGCCGAUCCUACAUCCUUACAUAACAUCACAUGAAAAACUAAGGUGAACUACACUGUAUUGGGCAUUCAAGGUGAACAUGAUGGCAUCAAUUUGCUGAAAAGAUGCCAUCAAACUAUGUGUGAAUGUUUAUAUAUGGCCAUGUGAUUAAGGGCUACCAUUAUCUUCACAGUCGGGGGUAAUUGCCUGUAUUGUCUUUUAAAUUAUUUGUUUUAGUGGUCCUCUCUAAGGCUGUGUGUAAGGUCAACACUUUUAAGGACUGUCAAUAGGACUGCCCACUGAAAGAACUGCCUAAAAGAUACCAAUGUAAAGUUCCCUUUGUCAGACUUGCUGAGGACUACAGACAGCUCGUGUUCUCAAUAAAGAAUCCUGCUGAAGAUACAA